CACACAUUCAACUUGCUCACUACUUCUGACAAGUGUAGAAUAUAUCUAUCUUGGAGAGCUGGCUUCAACAGUUUCGAUGUGAUUUCACAGCCACUGUGAGAAAGGAGUCUCUGAGAAUACAGAGGGAGCUUGGGUAACGUGUGCAGAAAGUUGUGGCUGCAGACUGGCCUCUGAUGGCGUCAGUAGUCACCUGGAAUAUAAACUUGUCAAAAUUCUAGACCUGAACAAAACGGGGAUACUGUUCGACAGACAAGAACUCAGAAAGGUUACGGCUUGUGUUCCCUUUCUGGAACAAACAAACUAUUUGCUUUGGUGUGUUGGAUCAACUCCAGCCAAACAAGAGAAGAAUUCAAGAAAGAGAAAAAAAUAGGAUGUAAGAAAUUGAAACUGAGAACUGCAAGGAAAGAAAAGCUGCUUUAUGUGACAACGAACCAUGAAAUCUUCCAAGAGCUGAUUCGAAACAUCUAAAAUAAAAAAUGUCACAGAGACACACUGUUCAAGAAAGUCACGGACUGAAAAUAAAGCAGGAUAUAGUUUAUAAGUGAUCCUGAGAACCGAAGUAGCAGAAGGAGCAGUAUUUUCUAUACCACGAAGGCCAUGCCUCCUUCAGCCAGAAGGAGUCAUUGUCUUAACUGGAUCGCUGGCUUCAGGAGGCUGCUUCCAAGAAGAAUGCUGCCCUGGCCUCAGCUCACAGGAAUUACAACAGGAGCCUGCACCAACAGUAUCGGACACUGAAUUUUGUAGUCAUGAGACAUCAAAGACGAAUCUCAUUUCUUCUGUCUUCUCCAAAGAAGUCAAGUCCUAGCUCAGCGGAGUUAAGCACCAGUGUUACGCGGUGUGUCUCAACUAUGUUCUCUUUUGUUCAUCGAAGAAUGUGUUUUGUUUUGCUCCUUCCUCUCCCUGGUGAUUUAACAACAUGUUAAGUACAUCCAGAACCUUUGGGUGGAGGGGGGCAGUUUGUCUCCCAAACUCUUACAAUUGGUGGCUCCCUGUCAGACCCCGCCUCUGCCAGACCCCGACCCUGUUACCCCUCAACCCAUCUACACAUUUCAUCCUUUGUUUAAUCAUGUCCCCAUCUGUGGAUCCCUAGAAAAACAUUCAGCUUCAGGGUCUCUAGAAAAGUCCUGGAGUCAAGAGCAGUUUUGCUUGCAGGAACCCGGAUGCCACAACUUCUGUUACUUUCACAAGUUGACCUUAUUGGAAGGAAAGGUCUUAGAAUUUAGAGUGAUAAAUCUCUCACCUCAGAGAGAACUGAAAGAGGGGCAGCCUGGUACACCACAAUGACGCCUUGGCACAGCGGUGCCCUGACAUUGAGUUGAAAAACAUCUGCUGGAGGAAAGUUCUUUUGAAUAAACUGUGAUUGAGCCACCCCUUUUCUGGUUUGUCAAAAGGUUUCUCAAUCCUGGUGUGCUAUUAACAUUUGGGGCAAGAUAAUUAUCUGUUUCGGGGAGUGGGGGUUGUGUUUACAGUUUAUGCGACUUCUACCCACUAGAAACUAGUAGCACCCCUCCAGUUUCUGCCCCCCUCCUCCAGUUUUAAUGACCAAAAAUGUCUCCUGCUGCUGCUGCUGCUAAGUCGCGUCAGUCGUGUCCGACUCUGUGCGACCUCAUAGACGGCAGCCCACCAGGCUUCCCCGUCCCUGGGAUUCCCAGGCACCAUCAAAUGUCACCUGGGAGGCAAAAUGGCACCCAGUGGAGAAGUGUUGGUUGAUUAGAUAUUUUGUGUGGACAUGAUGGUAUUCGGGCAACAGUAUGAAACUCUCCCCUGUCUCUGUAAAGAAUGGAACAUUCCAACUUCCUCUACUCUGCCCUUGGCUUCCCAGCUGGCUCAGCCCAAAAUAAAACUUGUUUUCAUUCCUGACUCUUCCUUUCAUUAAGCUCUUCGCCAACACUUUCUUAUUCUUCCUCAAAUCUCUUCCCCCAGUUAAUCUUCCUCAAGGAUUGAUUAUUACUGGAAUUCCCCAAAGAAAACCUGUAAUGACUUGGAGCUUGGAAACCUUG
ensembl:lncRNA